rnacentral:rRNA from 2 species
UGACCUCGGAUCAGGUAGGAUUACCCGCUGAACUUAAGCAUAUCAAUAAGCGGAGGA